rnacentral:lncRNA from 1 species
AGCUCUCUGCCUGGGAAAGAAAAAGAGCCCAUUUCCAUGGGACGUGCCCUCAUGGGGAGGCACAGCAGACCACCCAAGGCAGCACAUGCAGUGUCCCCGAACUGCCAGAGCACGGAGGCAGAGACGUGGGAGCCGAUGAAGGUCGCACGCCAGCCUCCCACCUGUGAGACAAAGGGCCCUGUCACUGGAAGCCACGUCCAGCCUGGCCCCGCAGGAGCCAGGGCUCUGCGCCUAACGGAGGACUGAUGGGAAAGGGAAGGCUGGCAGCAGUGAGGGGCCAAUCAUCUGAAUCACGUUCCUGUAUUCAGGAUUUGCCCCUCCAAAACAGUUUUGAUGGGAGACACCAGCCACCUACUAUUAUGCAGCCAUGCACCACAUAACGACGUUUCAGGCAACAAUGACUGCACAUACCACAGUGGUCCCGUAAAAUUACAAUGGAGCUGAAAAAUUCCUAUUGCCUAGUGACGUCACAGCCAUUGUAAGGUCAGAGUGCAACACAUCACUCAUGUGUUUGUGUUGAUGCUGCUGUAAACAAACCUACCGCACUGCCAGUCAUAUAAAAGUAUAGCCCAUACAAUUAUGUGUAGUACUUAAUACUUAAUAAUAAUAAAC